rnacentral:tRNA from 1 species
GGGUCCGUGUCCCGAGCGGCAAAGGGGGCUGACUGUAAAUCAGCUGGCUAUGGCCUUCGCAGGUUCGAGUCCUGCCGGGCCCA